rnacentral:rRNA from 1 species
UACGUAGGGGGCAAGCGUUGUCCGGAAUCAUUGGGCGUAAAGCGCGCGUAGGCGGCCCGGUAAGUCCGCUGUAAAAGUCCAGGGCUCAACCCUGGAAAGCCGGUGGAUACUGUCGGGCUAGAGUCCGGAAGAGGCGAGUGGAAUUCCUGGUGUAGCGGUGGAAUGCGCAGAUAUCAGGAGGAACACCGAUGGCGAAGGCGGCGUCCUGGACCAACACUGACACUGAUGAGCGAAAGCCAGGGGAGCAAACGGG